GUCCGCGAAGGUGAUGAGCCUUUGCAGACCUGUAAUGCUUCUUGCGAGCAUGAUCGCUUGAUUCAAAGAACAUCUAAGGGACCGGGUGGGC
rfam:Triticum aestivum genome assembly, contig: Triticum_aestivum_CS42_TGACv1_scaffold_093224_2AL